rnacentral:rRNA from 1 species
AUUGAACGCUGGCGGCAUGCCUUACACAUGCAAGUCGAACGGUAACAGGUCUUCGGAUGCUGACGAGUGGCGGACGGGUGAGUAAUACAUCGGAACGUGCCCGAUCGUGGGGGAUAACGAAGCGAAAGCUCUGCUAAUACCGCAUACGAUCUACGGAUGAAAGCAGGGGACCGCAAGGCCUUGCGCGAACGGAGCGGCCGAUGGCAGAUUAGGUAGUUGGUGGGAUAAAAGCUUACCAAGCCGACGAUCUGUAGCUGGUCUGAGAGGACGACCAGCCACACUGGGAGUGGGCCACGGCCCAGACUCCUACGGGAGGCAGCAGUGGGGAAUUUUGGACAAUGGGCGAAAGCCUGAUCCGGCCAUGCCGCGUGCAGGAUGAAGGCCUUCGGGGUGUAAACUGCUGUUGUACGGAACGAAAAGACUCUGGUUAAUACCUGGGGUCCAUGACGGUACCGUAAGAAUAAGCACCGGCUAACUACGUGCCAGCCGCCGCGGUAACAC